AGCUUUGAGCAUUGGCGAUAAUUUGGUUACCAAUGAGGUUUUACUGAGGUGCGAUUAUUGCUGGUUGAAAAAAAAAUCCUACUUAACAGUGUAUCAUGUUUUCUACCAGAAAUUUAGAACUUUUUUUCUGAUAAUGAUUUAUAUUA